rnacentral:rRNA from 1 species
AUGCAUGUUGCAUGCAGCUCGUCGCCCAGGGAGGUGUGGAGCUACAUCGACUUCAACCACCCAACCACCUUCCAAACCCUAGCCAUGGACCCCGCCAAGAAGCAGAUGAUCAUGGACGACCUCGAUGACUUCCGCAACAGCAAGGACUACUACCGCCGAAUUGGCAAGGCGUGGAAGCGGGGCUACCUUCUAUACGGCCCUCCCGGCACCGGCAAGUCCACCAUGAUUGCCGCCAUGGCCAACUACCUCAACUACGACAUCUACGACAUCGAGCUCACCACCCUAAGCACCAAUAGUGACCUUCGUAAGCUCUUCAUCGAGAUCACCGGCAAGUCGAUUAUCGUCAUCGAGGACAUCGACUGCUCCCUCGACCUCACCGGUAAUCGUGCCAGAAAAGGUCGACGGCGAGGACCACAAGCAGACGAUGCCCAUGAUUAUGCCGAUCCUAAUAGUCUGACUUUGUCUGGCCUACUCAAUUUCAUUGAUGGCCUUUGGUCGGCGCAUAGCGGUGAGAGGAUCAUCGUGUUCACCACAAACUAUGUCGGCGAGCUUGACCCUGCAUUGAUCCGCAGGGGACGGAUGGACAUGCACAUGGAGAUGUCGUACCUAAAGUUUGAGGCGUUCAAGACGCUGGCCAUGAACUACCUCCAAAUGGAAGCACACCCGCUAUUCGACACCAUCAAGGAGCUGUUGGACGAGGUGGAGAUUGCCCCAGCAGAUGUCGCCGAGUGUCUGAUGGUGUCGAGACGCACAGACCGUGAUGCACAGGCUUGCCUGGACCGCUUGAUUGGUGAGCUCAAGAUGAAGAAAGAGGAAACCAAGGACAUAAACAAUAAGAAGGUCAAGACCAAUAAGCAUAGAAAGAAGGCAAAGACCAAAGCCAAUGCAAAGAGGAAGGCUGAAGCCGAGAAAGAAAAGGUCGAAAAGGCAGCAUCCGAGGACGAUAACAAGAAGACCAAUGACAACACGGAGAAGAAGGCCACAGACGUAGAGGAGGAGAAGAAGGUCAUCCAGGAAGAUUAA